AUUGAACGCUGGCGGCAUGCCUUACACAUGCAAGUCGAACGGCAGCGGGGGAGAAGCUUGCUUUGCCUGCCGGCGAGUGGCGAACGGGUGAGUAAUACAUCGGAACGUGCCCUGUAGUGGGGGAUAACUAGUCGAAAGAUUAGCUAAUACCGCAUACGACCUGAGGGUGAAAGUGGGGGACCGCAAGGCCUCAUGCUAUAGGAGCGGCCGAUGUCUGAUUAGCUAGUUGGUGGGGUAAAGGCCUACCAAGGCGACGAUCAGUAGCUGGUCUGAGAGGACGAUCAGCCACACUGGGACUGAGACACGGCCCAGACUCCUACGGGAGGCAGCAGUGGGGAAUUUUGGACAAUGGGCGAAAGCCUGAUUCAACAAUGCCGCGUGUGUGAAGAAGGCCUUCGGGUUGUAAAGCACUUUUGUCCGGAAAGAAAUGGCUCUGGUUAAUACCUGGGGUCGAUGACGGUACCGGAAGAAUAAGGACCGGCUAACUACGUGCCAGCAGCCGCAGUAA
rnacentral:rRNA from 1 species